rnacentral:rRNA from 1 species
UCGAACGAAGCAUUUACACGGAUUUCCUUCGGGGAUGAAGGGUUUAUGACUGAGUGGCGGACGGGUGAGUAACGCGUGGGCAACCUGCCCCGUACCGGGGGACAACAGCCGGAAACGGCUGCUAAUACCGUAUACGUUUUAAGGACCGCAUGGUCCGUAAAACAAAACUCCGGUGGUACGGGAUGGGCCCGCGUCUGAUUAGCUCGUUGGCGGGGUAACGGCCCACCAAGGCGACGAUCAGUAGCCGGCCUGAGAGGGCGGCCGGCCACAUUGGGACUGAGACACGGCCCAGACUCCUGCGGGAGGCAGCAGUGGGGAAUAUUGCACAAUGGGGGAAACCCUGAUGCAGCGACGCCGCGUGAGCGAGGAAGUGCGGCGGUAUGUAAAGCUCUGUCAUCAGGGAAGACAAUGACAGUACCUGACCAAGAAGCCCCCGGCUAAACUAACGUGCCCCCCACCGCGGGUAAUACGUAGGGGGCAAGCGUUAUCCGGAUUCACUGGGCGUAAAGGGAGCGCAGGCGGCACGGCAAGUCUGAUGUGAAAACCCGGGGCUCAACCCCGGGACUGCAUUGGAAACUGCCGGGCUGGAGUGUCGGAGGGGUAAGCGGAAUUCCUGGUGUAGCGGUGAAAUGCGUACCUUCUGGGAAAACACCGGUGGCGAAGGCGGCUUGCUGGACGACAACUGACGCUGAGGCUCGAA